rnacentral:rRNA from 1 species
UACAGAGGGUGCAAGCGUUAUUCGGAAUUAUUGGGCGUAAAGGGCGCGUAGGUGGUUUCGUAAGUCUGGUGUGAAAUCCCUGGGCUUAAUCCAGGAAGUGCAUUGGAUACUGCGAGACUAGAGUACAGGAGAGGAGAACGGAAUUCCUGGUGUAGAGGUGAAAUUCGUAGAUAUCAGGAGGAACAACAGUGGCGAAGGCGGUUCUCUGGACUGUAACUGACACUGAGGCGCGACAGCGUGGGGAGCAAACAGG